rnacentral:rRNA from 1 species
GACGAACCGUGCAAACGUUAUUCGGAAUCACUGGGCUUAAAGGGCGCGUAGGCGGCUUGUCAAGUCAGGGGUGAAAUCUUUCGGCUUAACCGGAACAGUGCCUCUGAUACUGGCAGGCUCGAGGGAGGCAGGGGCAUGUGGAACUUCCGGUGGAGCGGUGAAAUGCGUUGAUAUCGGAAGGAACGCCGGUGGCGAAAGCGACGUGCUGGACCUCUGCUGACGCUGAGGCGCGAAAGCGAGGGGAGCGAACGGG